rnacentral:rRNA from 1 species
AGUGAACGCUGGCGGCAGGCCUAACACAUGCAAGUCGAGCGGCAGCGCCGGGGCAGCUUGCUCGCCCGGGGGCCGACUGGCGAGGGGGUGGGCGAAACCUGCCUAUCUGUCCUGUAAAUCGUAGGUAAACUGACGCAAAUCCCCCAAACGCCCUACGGGAGAAAGUGGGGGACCCCAAGGCCUCUCGAAGAAUUACGAGCCGAGGACCGGUUAGCUAGUUGGUUGGGUAGAGGGCCAACAAGCCGACGAGCCGUAGCUGGUGUGCGAGGAUGAGUAGCCACACUGGAACUGAGACACGGCCCAGACUCCUACAGGAGGCAGCAGUGGGGAAUAUUGGACAAGGGGCGCAAGCCUGAUCCAACCAUGCCGCGUGUGUGAAGAAGGCCUUCGGGUUGUAAAGCUCUUUUGUUCGGAAAGAAAAACAGGGGGCUAAUACCUUCGUGGAAUGACGGUACCGGAAGAAUAAGCACCGGCUAACUUCGUG